AUCAACACUACAAGAAUGACUUUGGUUAAAACACUAAGUAGAGGAUGAAUACUGUUCUUAUUGCUUAAAUCAUGAGUAUUCUUGACAAUCUACUAAGUUUAAUUUGUAUGAUUCUUUUAUAAUCCAAGGUGCAUCGCCACUUUCAAGCUAUUGCGACGGGUGAAAGCCCGUC
rnacentral:ncRNA from 1 species